AGCCCUAAGUGGGUGGUAAACUCCAUCUAAGGCUAAAUAUGACCACGAGACCGAUAGCGAACAAGUACCGUGAGGGAAAGUUGAAAAGCACUUUGAAGAGAGAGUUCAAGAGUACGUGAAACCGUUUAGGGGUAAACCUGAGAAAUCCGAAAGGUCGAAGGGAGAAAUUCNUUCGCGUCUCGACGUAGACGUCGAUCGGUCGUGUGACGGAGGGCGUUCGCGCGUCUUUUCCGCUCCUUCCGAUCUGACGAUUCGACGACGAACGCGUGCACUUUUCUCCUNGUAGGACGUCGCGAUUCGUUGGGUGUCGGUCUACGGCUCGCGGUGGAGCCCGUUCGUACAAUUUUCCGUUGUACUGGCGGACCCGCGUGUCCCGGCUGACUCGCUCGACGGUAUACGAAAGGUUUAAGGCCGCUCUCUAGGAGCGUUCGACUNNCNGCAAGCGCGCUUGAUGCGUCGGUGAUCGGACCUCGUGCCGAUUCU
rnacentral:rRNA from 1 species